rnacentral:lncRNA from 1 species
UUGCUAUCACUGAUUCCAAAUUUGAUUUUAUCUUUUGUUUUACUUUCUUUUAACCACAUGAUAAGUGUCCCAGGAUUUUUUUCUAAAGAGCUUCAAAGUGAAACUGUAGACAUUUUCUUUGCCUUUAAAAGCCAAAAAAGAUCACCAUCUGAGAGAAAUUAUGAGCCUUUCAAGGCCACCUGGGACAGAGUGGAGAAAUGAUGCCAAAAACCAAUUCCUAAGGACUUCAAAGUUGAAAAAUGUUUCCUUCAGAAGAAAAGAACUGCUGAGAUAAAACAAAUGAUGGCAAUUCCAAUUAUGCAUUUUUCCUACUUUCUCAUAAGAAAAGUAUUAAAUUAAUGUCUCUUAUGAAGGAUGGGUUCCUAGAUUACAUUUAAAGUUACAGUUUCAUAGAAAUAAUCAUAUUGAAGUGAAGCAAAUUUCUGAGCAGUCCCAUUCAGUUGAAAUAAAAUAAUACACAGAAAUAGUCAAACACGUGCAAAAUGUGUGCAGCCUGGAAGCACUCUGAAUCCCACAAUUCAGAGUGUGUUUUAUGAAACUCCAAAAGGAUCACUUCUGCUACGAUUGUAUCAACUUAAUUGAUCUUGGCAGCCUGAUGAUUUGACACUGUCUUCACUACCCUGCUCCUUAGUCUCAGCGAUUACAAUAGCAGUGCAGAAAGCUCAUUUUCUACUCUUAGUGACUUAGAAACCCGCUUCUGCUGCUCUGUCCAGUGACAGGCUCUG